rnacentral:misc_RNA from 1 species
UGAAAGGAAGUUGGUGAAUUUCCAGUUCAGCUCAAAUAGAAUCAAAGAAUUGAAUUUCCAGUGUUUUGCUCCUGCGGUUACAUUAAACGUUAUAUCUUGAAACCAACUAACAAAAGCUAAUAUCAUUUGUCAAAGUGCAGAAGCUCUUCAUCAUUUGCCUACGGAUCCAGGAUAUAUAAUCGGGAUUUUCUUCACAAUGUUAAAAUGCGUGUAUUUCAUAUUGAUUGCGUCAAUUCAUUCUGUUGCAGCUUUUAAGGUUGCACAAUCGUCCGCGGGCCAGCAGAGCAGCACUGCCAUCGACAGCUCAAUGUCAGCCCAAUCAUGCUAUGAUUCUUUGGAGAUCCUGGCUGGAUUGCCUUUAGUGUUCGAUGGCUUAAAGAAAAUACUUUGUGAUGAUGACGAAAAAGCGCUGGACGAUGCUGCCGUCGAACAUCUGUCAUCAGAAAUCAUCGGUGCUUCAUCGGUGCCUCUGCAGAGAGAGAAACGACAGUCAGAUACUCCCGCAACUGACGCUAUCAAUCGCGCGGGUCUAACCUAUUUAAUCAUCCUAUUGACGCUGACAACAUUGUUGAUCCUGGUUAAAAUAUUUUCGAAACAGCUGUGUUUUGUAUGGAAUUUAUUACCGAAUUUUAGAAACCGACCUACCGACCCAGUAGUUGUCAUAGAAGAAAACAUUGAACAGGUCGUAGUGGAGCCAGUUUCCUUCAUUCCAAGACUAGAAAUAUUUUGCGAUCUAUCCAAGAAGCAAGGAUGUCUCACAGUCGUACCCAAUGUCAUUUCGAAGGAGCAUGUAACUUACGACAUUGAAGAUGAGCAAACUUACUUUGAUAUAAAAGUGAACCUUCAUAAAGGUUACUUCAGAAAUACAAAGAAACGGGAAGUCAUUCCAAUGCAUGGCUAUUAUUUCAUGGAUUUGAAGAAUAUCAUCCAGGAACUGCUAUACUCAAAGGACGAAGCUCAGUCGCGGCUUAUCGAAGCUUUGCAGGAUCAGACCGCAACAAAUUCAAAAUCAAUCAUUGAUGCUGCAAUAGCGCAUCCUACUCCAAAGCCUCCUCCAGAUACCGAUUCGGACGAUACUCUGCCUUAUAUCAGCAUGGGAAGAAUCCUUCAGAUUCCAAAGGUUAAAGGGAGACAAAUUCUCACAGUUGUAAAUGAGACUUUGACCAGAAGUUGGGCAGGCCUGGUGCCUCCCAGAACAUUCGAGCUGCAUUCACCUGUCGAAGAGGAACGUUCCGAUGGAAGGUCUGCUUCGCUCGGGUACGUGACAGGAUCCAGUGGAGUAUCAGUUGAAACCACUCCAAAAGAGGACUUGUCCACAGAAAGUUCGCUAGAAAAUAUUGUUCUCGAUGAACGAGAACUGAAUGAAAACGUUCAACUUCGAGACGCUUUGAAAUAUAAGUUAUAUAACAAUGGAGAAGAUUCUAAUGGAACGGGGAUUCUGCAAAAUGAAAACGCCGAAAAACGUGCAGCAAACUUACUGGAGGACGUCAGCUGUAACAAACUGAAAGAAGAUCUUUUAACUUCUAAUUCAGAAAUCGGCGUUGAGGCUGUGUCAAGUUUUCAAGAUUGUCCACAUGACUCAAGUAGUCACGUCUCUCAACAGGAAUCACCUGCAGCUCAAGAUGAUUCUGCAACCGUCUUGCCUGCGGGCAGAGUUUCGUCCUCAGAGGCUGCCACCACCGCGGCGGCAGGGCCAUCGCUCAACCAGGCUGCUCCUGGAGAGGUUGAGUCUCUGGCUACUUCCGAUGUCCGGAAAUUUUCGUCGGCGGAAGUAGAAAAUCUAGAUGCUACUCGGGAAUAAUUUCCGUGUCUGCACUCAAAAAGGUGCUUGAAAUCAUUUAAUUUCUUCACAGACAAAUUUUUUCGGGAUAAAAUUUUUUAAUCGCGUUAAGAAGACCUUAUUUUUAUAAUGACGUCGUUUAGGACAUGUACCAUCAGCCAAGUGUAUAUUAAUUGUCAAAUAAAAUCACGACUUACGUCGAACCUUACUUUUUAUAUGCGAAAUUUGUCUUUGUAAUGAAAAUUAUCGCGUUGGAUAGUUUCAAUGGAGCUAUCCGUUCAUAAAUUAGUGCUUCUUACAAUAUAAUUCCUCAAAUAUUUCAUCUGAGAGGAUGAGAACUGAACGAUCUCGGAAAUCGCAAAGGAAACUUAAGGUUAUUAUAUCCGACGCAGGAAAUGCACUGUGAGUUGGUAAGCAUUAAAUUUUCGUGGGAGAAAAAAAUUAAAUUAAUUUACUUAAUUUUAUUUGAAUCAGCGUAUUGUUCACAUUCUAGAAUAGGACAACAUUCCUGAAUGCUUAAAGGUCAACGGCGUCUAAAGAUUUAAUCUGGAACUUUUGAUCUGUCCAUCAAAAUGUGGUCCGUGACCAAUGUGCUUUUUCUCCAUCAUAUACGGUUUAGGCUUCCAAUGAAGUGAAAUUUUUACUCAAUUAACAAAAAUAAAUGCCAACAGUAUAAGUUAGAUUUGGACUGGGCAGCAUCAGCAGAAUCUUUGUCUUUUUGUUCCCUUGUCAAGCAUGGAACUAAUCCUAUCAAUGCUACUCUCGGUUCUGCAUGAACGUAAUAAGGUGGCAAGUGAAAAGGCUAACGACGCUGCCACUCUUCUUACUCUGACAAUAUGAAUGUCAUGGCGCACCUUUAUGCUUCCAUCAAAAUCAGUUGGUUCGUAGUUGCAUUAAUUAAGGAAGGUAAAGUCCAGCAAAUUGCAGAGACUUGGAUAUUUAUAGCUACUAAAAUGAAGGAAUAGGAAUAACUUCACUACUAAAUUACUAUCACCCCACCUCGGGUUAACUGGCGAAUGUAGCAUUCCCAUUCUAUUUCCUUCCCAAAUUGAACGGAGUGAUCUGAGGAGAGUGAUCUGAAGGGGUUUUUAGGGAGUAGAAGUUCUACACUUCUCAGAGGAGACGGAAAUGACGUGCUGGCGAUCAUCUCCAAACCUUGCAAUAAAUACGAGUGCGUGUUCUUCCAUUCAAAAUAGCUCAAAUGCGAGAUACAUUGAAGCUCAUGUCACUGCACCAUAAACUCCCAGGUUCCCGUACACAACACAAGGUCGCACGACUAUUGCCCUGCCACACGUCCGUGCAUGCCGCAAUGUCGCACAUUUAUUGCCCUGCCACUCGCCCGCGCAUGCCACAAUGUCGCACAACCAUUGCCCUGCCACACGCCCGUGCAUGCCGCAAUGUCGCACAUUUAUUGCCCUGCCACACGUCCGUGCAUGCCACAAUGUCGCACGACUAUUGCCCUGCCACACGCCCGCGCAUGCCACAAUGCCGCACAUUUAUUGUCCUGCCACACGCCCGUGCAUGCCACAAUGUCGCACGACUAUUGUCCUGCCACACGCCCGCGCAUGCCACAAUGUCGCACAUUUAUUGUCCUGCCACACGCCUGUGCAUGCCACAAUAUGUCGCACGACUAUUGCCCUGCCACACGCCCGUGCAUGCCACAAUGCCGCACAUUUAUUGUCCUGCCACACGUCAGUGCACGCCACAAUGUCACACAACCAUUGCCCUGCCACGCGUCCGUGCAUGCCACAAUGUCGCACAUUUAUUGCCCUGCCACUCGCCCGCGCAUGCCACAAUGUCGCACAACCAUUGCCCUGCCACACGCCCGUGCAUGCCACAAUGUCGCACAUUUAUUGCCCUGCCACACGGCAGUGCACGCCACAAUGCACGGGCAAAGGUAAAGUUGUCGCACAAUUAUUUUCCAUGUGGUCUGUUAAUGUAACGAAUACCCGAUCGUUUAAAAAUUUAAUGAAAUUUGAAAAAGUUUUUGAUCACUAUCGGUGCCAUGAAUAACAAAAUUGAACGUAAUUUUCUCGAAUCACGACUCAUAUUUCUUAAUCAACCGUAGUCAUAUUAAACAAAAUUGCGAUAACGUGUGACGACAUUCACCCACAAUAUAUGAACUUAAUGGUUAUAAUAUUAUUUACCAUCAACUACCAAGUCAUUACAUUGGAGGUAAAAUAUUUGAAUUUGAAUGGGUCCCGAGGAUGAUCUGUUCUCUCCCGAGAGUACAAUAAAAGAGCUAAUGUGAAUGAAUGAACCUAUUCCACCUUUUGAAAUAGAUAAAAUGACCACAGUAAAUGACCAAUAUUCAUGACUGAUAUUUGUGAUUGGUUAGUCUUUUAAAUCAACAGGUUUCAAAAGGGCCUCCAGAAUUUGAUAAAUCUUGUUACGAGAAUGCUAUUUAUAUUUCGGUAAAAAUAGGUGAUAUUUUUUUAUAUGCCUAACUGUUGCCACCGAAAAUUGCAGUGGAAUUGUUAGAUGGUUCUCUGAUAAAUUCGUCCCGACUUCGAUAAACUAACAUGAACUUAAGCACGGCAUUCACUGCCAAAGAUUGAACGUAGUCAAUUCUGGGCCACUGAAGGUAUAGUGUUAAAUAUAUUGAAAGAUCUAGGUGGUACGGUGAUGGACUCUCCCGAUGGUCUCACUAUUUCGUCAAUCUUUAAGCUACGUUUGGAUAUGGUCUGUUGAAUUCGGUAGUCAAUUGCAACGUGCCAUUUACUUGUGUUGGAGAUCGCGUUCGUACCUGACAAGUCGGACCUGCAUUUAUCUGGGUGCUCAUUUCAAACUUCACACUUGGUCCACAAGCUUUUCCGUGUGAAGAACAUAAAGAUGCAUAGAAGCCUAUGAAGGUAACUGCUUAAAACCACACCAUCGGCUGUCCACAUCCUCAACAUAACACGUUGAAGGGAACAACCCACAGGUGGAUUGCAGGGUCUUUUUUUUCCGGACAAAUUCAGCGAUUUAGUUUUUUAAUCGCGUUGGUCGUAAAAAAUACAUGUUCAUCUACCUUGUUGAAUAUUAAACGAUUCAAUGAAUAGGAAAAUCAAAUUUUUGUACCGGAACCUACAAGUUUACUGGAAAUUUUUGAAGUCCUUAUUUUGUUCUCGGGCCUGGCCGCUUUUAGGCCAUCUGUCAAACCUGGUGGGUCAUGCAGCACUUAACGUGUCAAGCUUGCCGAAGGUAUGUAUGGCUAAACUGCACCUGGCCAAACCUCUUCAGGCCUAACAAACACAAGUUUCAUGGGCGGCAAGAAGUUAAAAAGAUGGUUGAAGUGUGCUGGUAGAGCCAGUCAUUGGCUGCAAGGAUGGUGGGAGUCGGGCUAACUAGAAUAGACUAGUCAUGAGUAGGUGAAGCCGGAAAAGAAACUGCAUUGCUUCUGAGCGAACAUGCUUCAGUAUCGGCUGAAGACCUCCGGCGAUAUUAUCUGUAGACAGUGUAUUACUGGUCUGGAUUACGGUGUUCCAGGGCAGUCAGUGGCUUCAAGUUCUGUGACUGAGCAAAUUUACAGCAUUGUGAGGCUGGGCGUUGGUCCCAUGAGCUUGAUUAAUACUAUAAUUUGUGGCCUACGGCAGCGCUCCCGGUUAUUCUAAGUUCGGAUUACUGAGGCAUCAGAGUCCGCGGAAUCUUGUGACAGAAGGUUAGAAUUAAAUUGAAGCUACAACAGGAUAGAUCUUUUUCUACUUUUUCGUAUAGGCUAUGUCUUUACUUAUAAUAAGGUAGCUAAAAGCGUGAUUGUACCCAUGAAUUGGGGUGCACACUCUAAGCAACUAAUGGUCUCAAGUUGAUAAUUUCAAAUUUCGGGUAUAACUGUGAUCUCAUGUUAGAUCAAUUUUCAGGCCGGAAAUAGUGUUGGAAGUUCUCAUACUGAUUAUUGCAGAUUUUUCAAACCUGUUAUCCAUAGAGGUUUGAAAUUUAUUCAGAGAAAUGCGUUUCUUCAUGUUCAUAUGUUGUUUGGUUUGCGAGUUAAUUCUUUUCGUAACAGCGGAGCCGAGAGCCAAAAAUGCCGCCAUAGAUGUCGACGGAGUAACUGAGCAAUCUGAUCUGAAAGUAGAAGACCUCACAACUGAAGAGGAAUUCGACAGAGGCCCAGUUAAAAAAAUUGUUGAUGUGGCAGGACAAGUUAUGACUGCAGGAGCCGACGACUCAACUGGUAUCUCUGAUCACACUACGGACUCGACUGUUGGGAAAAAGAACGUCGUUUUGCUAAAUGUUGACGAAAACGUGUACUUGAUUCUAACUUUGGUCCCCGUCAUCCUCGUUCUGUUCGGAAUCUUGACCAUUGUAUUCCAAUUCCGGCUAGCAGCUGCCAUGAAUUUGAUGAGACGAAGGAUGGAGGAAAGUCAUGAAUUAAGGGAGAUUCACCCCGUUCUGUCGCCUGAACCCCGUUCUGACGCGGGCGACGACAACCGCGGUAGCGAUACUGACAAGGGCAACAAUGGCAGCAAGAGUAAAGCCAACCCGAAUUCCGAAGAAAUAGAAGAUUCGGAGGCAAAUGAUGUAACUGACCAAACUUCCUUGAAGGAAACCAAGAAGCCUGGACCAGAUGGAAAAGCUGGAGCUACUAUUGUAUCUGUAACGAGCCAAAGAGACGGAGAGGCCGAAGAAAAUGUUACAAAUGGGGACAAAGAAGAUACAACCUCGAGCAAUUCAGGCGAUGCUUGUCAGGUGGACGUAAGCAAACUUGAAAAAUUGGACGAGAGCAAGGAAGGUGCAGCUUUUGCGGGCUCGUGUGACGUGGACAAUCUCCUCAAAAAGGCGGAUACGUUUGCUGUUGCUAUGGAAAACGGAAGUCCCAAGAAGGCUCCAGAUUCCGGCGCAUGUGCUGGUGGGCUUAAGAUGGUCAAAUGAAUGAAGGAAAAGUGUCGGCCAGUCGGCAGAUUAUCAGCAUAAAGUGUAUUAAAGUGCGUUCCUCUCUAUUCAUUCUUAUCUCGAAUCUCUCUUCAUUCUUAUUUUGGUGGAAUACUAGAAAUAAAUUUGAACCCUUU